AGUUCAGUUAAAGCAGCAUCUGUACAGUUUCAUGAGGAGCACGGAAACCUAACAAAUUGUUUGCACCUGUGUGUUUCCGCCCUGAUGAAGACCCGGUGAGGUCCAAACCAGUCGACGUCUUUUUACUGAGAUGCCCUGUUACAGGCCACAGAACGCAUGGACAAGAAUAUAGGACUUAUAUGGUAUAAAUACUCUCGGUCUCGGGCAUGUUGGGAGGAGGACCGACAGUGUUCCAGGCCUCUGUCACUCCUACAUAUGGACAUCAACUGCAAGUUAAUGAGGUUCUGAUCCUCCAAAUGGCCAGAAAGGCAGCCAUGGCUCUGGAGUUCUUGAUGCCGCAAAGAAACCUGACUUUACAUCCAGCCUGCCUGGAAGCCAAGAUGAUCUGGCCACAACUGGGAAGACUUAUUGUCAACCCUCAGGUGCAAUGGAAUUAAUGCUGUUUACUGUGUGAUGACAAUAAAGUGUCUUCUAGAGUAAAGUUUUUUUUUUGGCCUGUUUAAAAAAAACAAAAAAAAACAGCACCACCAUCUCCACACAGAUUACCAUCUUAACAUGGUGCUGAAAUUUUGGUCCAAGAUAGAGUACAGUGAAGAACUAAGAGACCUAUAUUAGAUGUUAACGCAAACCCAGACAGUUUUAAAAGACGUAGUAGUUUUAUUGAGGAAAAACAAUUUAAAAAAAAAAGCCCUGUGUAAAACAUUUUGUAAAACACUGUCAGUUUCUCCCACAUCGAGUACCCUUUUUUUUUGGUGCUGAAUCUUUUGGCACAAGAUGGGAAGUCCCUCCUGGUGGGGUCGUCAAGGCAGAGUACAUCACAUGAUGAGCCUUGCAGUGCAACAGCAUGGAGAUGCAAUGUACUCUACCUCGAUGACCCCACCAGUAGGGAUCUCCCCAGCUUACCCAAACCUCAGCAGCUGG